rnacentral:rRNA from 1 species
CCUACGGGGGGCAGCAGUGAGGAAUAUUGGUCAAUGGACGAGAGUCUGAACCAGCCAAGUAGCGUGAAGGAUGACUGCCCUAUGGGUUGUAAACUUCUUUUAUAAAGGAAUAAAACGAGGCACGUGUGCCUUUUUGCAUGUACUUUAUGAAUAAGGAUCGGCUAACUCCGUGCCAGCAGCCGCGGUAAUACGGAGGAUCCGAGCGUUAUCCGGAUUUAUUGGGUUUAAAGGGCGCGUAGAUGGGUUGUUAAGUCAGUUGUGAAAGUUUGCGGCUCAACCGUAAAAUUGCAAUUGAUACUGGCAGUCUUGAGUACAGUUGAGGUAGGCGGAAUUCGUGGUGUAGCGGUGAAAGGCUUAGAUAGCACGAAGAACCCCGAUUGCGAAGGCAGCUUACUAAACUGUGACUGACAUUGAUGCUCGAAAGUGUGGGUAUCAAACAGGAUUAGAUACCCCGGUAGUC